UACCUGGUUGAUCCUGCCAGUAGUCAUAUGCUUGUCUCAAAGAUUAAGCCAUGCAAGUCUAAGUACGAGCUCUCGUACAGUGAAACUGCGAAUGGCUCAUUAAAUCAGUUAUGGUUCAUUUGAUCGUACAGUUUACUUGGAUAACUGUGGUAAUUCUAGAGCUAAUACAUGCGAGAAGCGCCGACCUCGCGGGAGGCGUGCAUUUAUCAGACCAAAAACCGGCCGCGUCUUCGGGCGCGUUCGCCUUGGUGACUCUGGAUAACUUUGCGGAUCGCACGGUCUAGCACCGGCGACGGAUCAUUCAAGUGUCUGCCCUAUCAACUUUCGUCGGUACGGUAUUUGCCUACCGAGGUUCUUACGGGUGACGGGGAAUCAGGGUUCGAUUCCGGAGAGGGAGCCUGAGAAACGGCUUAUACAUCCUAGGAAGGCAGCAGGCGCGCAAAU
rnacentral:ncRNA from 1 species